UAGGGAAUCUUCCACAAUGGACGCAAGUCUGAUGGAGCAACGCCGCGUGAGUGAAGAAGGCUUUCGGGUCGUAAAACUCUGUUAUUGAAGAAGAACGUGUGUGACAGUAACUGGUCAUGCAGUGACGGUAUUCAAUCAGAAAGUCACGGCUAACUACGUGCCAGCAGCCGCGGUAAUACGUAGGUGGCAAGCGUUGUCCGGAUUUAUUGGGCGUAAAGCGAGUGCAGGCGGUCUUUUAAGUCUGAUGUGAAAGCCUUCGGCUUAACCGAAGAAGGGCAUCGGAAACUGGGAGACUUGAGUGCAGAAGAGGAGAGUGGAACUCCAUGUGUAGCGGUGAAAUGCGUAGAUAUAUGGAAGAACACCAGUGGCGA
rnacentral:rRNA from 1 species